GGAGAUGGAACUAUAAUAAUGAAUAACCUCCUCGAGGUUUGUUAACAUGAUAUAACCUCUUAAAAUUUCCUUGGUUUAUAUUUUGAAAGGAUUUUGACAUGCUACACUUUCUCAAUGGGGCAGCGUUUGAAAGAGACGUCCAAGGAUCCAUAUAUGGAGGGAGUUUUGUUGGAGACUGAGAACAUGCUAGCUCGUGGUAGAUUGGAUCUACCUCUCAGUCUAUGCUUUGCAGCAAUGAGAGGAGAUGACUUGCUGUUGCAUCAGUUGUUGAGACGGGGUUUGGAUCCGAAUGAAUCCGACAACAAUGGAAGAACAGCUCUGGUAUGUGAAAUCUUCUGCUACUGAUUUUACUUUUUCUUACUACGCAAUAUUCUGAAUAUGAUUUUCUAACAUUAGCUUUCACAUUUACUGUGUAAAACCAGCAUAUAGCUGCAUCCCAAGGAAGUGAGAACUGUGUGCUUCUACUAUUGGACUAUGGAGCACUUCCUAACAGUAGAGGUAAGACCAAGGGCUAUUAUAGUUAAGUUAAACCAUCAUUAUUGACUUCAUCAGUAAGAAGGUUGAUCAUAUUAUAUGCAUUUGGUUUAAUAAAUUCAUAUAUUAAACACAAGAGAUGUUAUCAAUUUAGAGAACUUUGCCUUGUAGUGAACUAGUCCAGUUUGUGGACUUGGGAUGUUGCUUGCAUCAGUUGCAUGGUUUUUUUUUUUAAGAGUCCAAUAAGAUACAUAAUUUAAAACUAUUUCAUUGGUAUGAAAUUCCAGAACAGAUUCAGUUUUUCUUAGUCAUGUUGCAGGCUUGCAGCUGUGAUUAUUCAUACAUUUCUUUUAGUGCAUUUUCUUAUUGUGUGUGGGAUCCAAGUCCCAAGUGUUGACCAUUGGGAAUUGGCCUAACUUGAUUACCUGAUUUUGUUCCCUUCUCAUACAUGACUCUAGUUUUUCUUUCCCUUAAGAGUAAGUUAGCAUAUCAUGUCUGUUGAGUGUUGACUUUCCUAAUCAGACUACCAACUAUAUCACUCAAUUAUUUGCUUCAUUAUGUUAAUUUUAUUAUAGUAUACUAGAUCAUAGUCGUCAUCAUCAUAUAUGUUAGAAAAACCAGUUGACUUGAUAACAUGAUCCAAAAACAGCUUCUUCAUGCCUUUUAAUACACAUGAGUGCGCGGGAGGCAUGCAUCUGUGCCUCACUUCUUGCUUGGUUAGUAAUAUAAAGCCUGUUUGAGUCUCCUGGGGAUCUGGCAUGGUUAUCUCAUCCCAGUUUAUUUAGUAUUAUCUUAAGAUGGAAUCCCCCGUCCUCUAUAUUUUAUCACAACAUGCAAGCAAGAUUGCAAGGAUGAAAGAUACAUCUUCAUAGGGAAAGCUUUCAUGUUACUUCUUGAUUGUGAUUCAAUCUCGUGGUUGUGCAAAUAGAUCUUUGUGUAAGAACUAAGCUUUGUGACAUGAUUUUCCUACACUGCCGACUUAUAAGUUGUUAAUUCGUAUUGUUUAGGGUGAAAUAAGUCGAUGCAUAAUGCCUUCUGUUGUUGAAAGAGUUGCUUAUCUAUGUUGACCACAUGAAAUCGAUUGCAAUGCUAACAUGAACUGAUGAACAUGUAAUGUUUCCACUUGCUGGAGAUUGAACAAAGAACUUAACUGUGUUCUAUGAUUUACAGACUCGGAGGGAAAUGUACCACUGUGGGAGGCGAUACAGAAGGAUCAUGAAACGAUUGCGAAAUUGCUCGUAGACAAUGGUGCAACUUUGAAUGCUGGGGAUGUUGGUCAUUUCGCUUGCAUUGCUACUGAGGAAAACAGGUUGGACUUGCUCAAAGAAAUAGUUCGACAUGGAGGUGAUGUCACAACUCCUAGAGGCAAUGGAACCACGGCUCUCCAUGUCGCAGUGUCCGAAGACAACAUUGAAAUUGUGAAAUUCCUUGUGGAAAAGGGGGCUGAUAUCGACAAGCCAGACCUCCAUGGCUGGACUGCAAGAACUCUAGCUGACCAGCAAGGACAUGAAGAGAUAAAAAGCCUUUUUCAAUCGAGAAAAGAGACCAAAGAUCAAUCUGUUAUAAGCAUUCCUACUGAGCAAAAGACUGGAAUUCGCUUCCUUGGGAGAUUUACAAGUGAGCCAAACAUCCAUCCUGCCUCCCAGGAAGGCUCAUUUAUAGUACCAGAUGGGGGAUCAUUGGGUCGAAGCCGCCCAAGGCGUAGGACUAACAACUUUCAUAACUCACUUUUCGGGAUGAUGUCAGCUGCACACACAGGGGAGAAGGAUUUGUUCUUCUCUGUCAGGAAAACCACCGAAACCACUCCUAAGGGUACUGGGAAUAAUCCUAACCCUGCUAGAGUGACAAUUAGUUGCCCUGAAAAGGGUGAAGUUUCAGGGAAACUUGUAUUACUUCCUGACAGUUUUGAGGAGUUACUGGAGGUUGGUGCCAAGAAAUUUGGUCUCACUCCGGCUAAAGUUCUGUGCAAAGAUGGAGGAGCUGAAAUCGACGAUAUAGAGGUGAUUAGAGACGGUGAUCAUCUUAUUUUUGUCAGUGGCCAAGAUGAAUCAGAACCUCAAGAAUGUAAUGGAGAAGAUACUCCAACUAAAAAAGAUGUGUAGUACAUGCAUAGGAAGUCCAUAUUUGAAUCUCUCUUCCUACGCUUGGAUGUGCAAAAACCAUUCUUACAGCAAAUGUACGUAGUUUUGUCCCAAGAGAAAACUUCUUGGCGACAAUCACCCCAGUAAAGUCGUUGUACUAAUCUGAACUCUUUACCGACAACAUAUUCCACGACGGUUGUUUUAGAGGUGUCAUGGUCAGCCCAAAUGUACCAUUGCCACGGGCUUGGCAACACUGCUCAACUGAAGUUGUGUAAAGUGUAAAUAUCUCCAACUUUGUUCCUGCUACGAAAUUACAUUUCAGAUGAUACACUAUAAUGUACAACUAUGUAAAAAUUAAAGCAGUAGAACGAGCUACGCCUCAAAAUUGUACAACUAGUUUGAGGCUUGAAUAUCAUUUUCCAGAUUUUGACGAGACCAACACAAUUUACAGCCUUGCGGUUACUAUAGGACACUUCUCUCCCAAAAACGUCAUUUAUGACCACUGUUGGUCAGUUUCCUAGAGCAGGAUGACAUUUUAAUGAAUACAAGUGAGACUAUCCUUUCCCUUGUAUGCUCCUUUAUAAUGUUUUUUUUUUUUGGAGAGAUGUUCCUUUAUAAUGUUACUCUUACCAAGCAUAAGUAUACAUCAGGGAUGUCAAAUUCUGAUACAUUAAACACUCGAAAGGCAAUUUGAAACUCCUCGUCUAUCACUACAGUAACUUGAGCAUUUUCAGACGCUCUUCAUGUUCAGGAUCCAACUUUGGUGGGGUAUAACAACCAUGAAGAUCCUCCACUACGUACUCCUGCAAAACGUUGAAAUUAUAAGAACUCUUCGUUUUCUGAAUGAUACAUUAUCCAAAAUAGUUUUCAGAUUAUAAGAAUAUACUUCUAAGUUCAUGGAAAACUAAUCACUGUGUGCAACUAACCUUUGUGAGUUCCUUUUUGGUCAGGAUAUGGUAAUGUCUCUGCCAGAUUCUCUGAAUAGCCAUAGUAGCAGCCAGGAAACCAUAAGCUAUGCCAAGAAUAGCAAAGAUGACAACAAAAACAAUAACCAGGGCAAAGCAUGCCUCCAUAGACGCAGGGAAACAAUCCAAUAUUCCCCAUCCAUAACAACAGUUCUGGCAGCCAGCCAUCCGUGGGUCAUUGCUAUUGAAAGAUGAACAGUGUACUAUAAGCCCAAAAAAUCCAAGCAGCACAAAAAAGGCAAUGACACCUGGUAACAAGUGCAUAAAGCAGCAAUUCAGUACAAGUCAAUAGCUGCAAGAGAUUAAGAACAAAUGCAAAAUCAUAACCCUUCUCAUACAAAACUACUAGAAACAGAACCUUGACACUGCUGAUGAGUAAUACAGCUGACAAUUAGCUUCCACAGAUUCGAGUAUUAAUAAGGAUGAAAUGCAAAAGGAAGAGAAGUGCUUGUGCAUGAGAGGGUUUGCCAUAAGCAUUAGGUGGCAGUAGCACAAAGAAUCAUGGACAUUAAGGUCUUGAGAACACAGUUAUUGUUAAUAGUACUCAGCAAUAUCCAAAAUAUUACUUCAAACACAGGGGUUGUUGUAUGCGUAUGGAAAGAAACUAAUAUCAUGAUUGUUUCUUGUCAGAAACCCCUACUUCCCCUCAAGAUCUACCAGUCUGCCACUUAUGAUGCAGAAUAUGAAGUAUAACAAUUUCCUUUAAUAUGAUUAUUUCUGAUAAAUAAGCAUUUAGAACAUAAACAACUCAACCCUGAUUGGUUAAUUAGAUACUAGAGACUUGUGAGCUCCACAUUAUUGACACAUUUCAAUGAAGCAAGGAAAACUACACCACAUUAUUUUUAAACAACAGUUUUUAGGUGUAAGAGUUUACCUAUGCAAUAGUAAAAUGGUAUAGGGUGCUUUGACAAGAUACGAUCCCAACCAUCACUGAACGAAUUCCUGAAGCCACCAUCUUUGUCCAUCAGAUAUGCAAAGCCACCAAUUGCGGCAAUUACCUGGAAAGUAAAGAAGAAUGCUUAUCGUAAGAAUCUUGACAGUAUAUGGAAGUAAUAGAUUGAUACAAUCCAGUAUAAACCAUUUCAUGUAACAUAAUGCAAAAGACUAUCACUUACUGUUUGUACAGCCACAAAUACAAGUAUAACAUCCCUUGCCACAAAAAUUCUGAAUUUCAUUUUACGCCAAGUGUUGUCCUCAUACGAUUCAACUCGAAGAUGAAAUUGGGCUUUGCAAGUGGUGCAGUGCGAGAAAGCAAAUCCUUCCUAGAAAGAGAAAAGGCGAAGUUCCGGGGGAAUUAAGUUCAGGCAAUUACAACAUUGAAUUGCCAGUGACAAAAGAGUCACAAAAUGACAUACUCUAAAGAGAAAGGUUAUUUACCUUAACCGAGCGCCAGUGAUCAAGACAGGAUAUGUGCACAAACUGCUGGGUGCCUUUGCACAAGCACGGCGAUAUCAACUCAUCACCUGUAAAAUUACAAAGGUCGAAAGUAAGCAAUAAAACCUUUGCAUCUGCCUACGAAGCAACGAGUGCUAGAGAUACACAUAACCAUUAACCACAGUAUACAUGAAACUUCUAUUCAACCCUGAAUUCAGCUAAACUUAAUACCUACAAAGAAUCUUAUAUCCAACAAACAUAUAAAACAUAACCAGAAUCACACUCAUUUCUGCCCUUAUAUCUUCGGAUACAACACGAUGUAAUGUUUCACCAACAAAACAAACACAAUAACAGCAUGAUCAGACCAAAAUGCCACAUCUUUAAAACCCGAAAAAUUCAACCUGCAUCGGAAUCGCUUUCGAGGCAAAUGCGACAACAAGCAACAGAGGAGCCAUUCUCAAUGUCUUCAUUUCUAAUCUCACUGGAGCUCGCCGGAGCCGACGACUCGUCGUCGUCGUCGUGGCUGCUCUGUAGCAGAGGGUCCAAGUCACUAGGAUCAUUCGGUUCCCGUUCCCCUACUACUACUGGUUCCAGCUGCACUUCCCGAUUCAUUGAUCAAACCCUAAAAUAAACCCCCAAAAUCACCGAUCAAAAACCUUCAAAUUAUACAGAAAUUUCUCACAGAACAAAAUUGAAUUUGAAAAUUGAAUGAUCAAUUAAACUUGAUUUUUGUUUUAAUUUCAGAAAUUAAAAAAAGUAGUACCUGGAGUUGUGCAGAGAAACGAUGAAUGGAGAAAAUCGGAGACAGGAGAAUUGAGGAAGACGAAGAUUGAGAAAAGAGCGAUACUUCCUAUACGACGUGCCGUCCGCGCCUUUGUUAAUCAUUGGCAUAUUUUACUAUAUUGGGCAAGUAGGAUGGGCCUUAUUGUUGGAGGAUGUUGGGCCUCUCGACCCAACUCGGUCUCCUGGUAUCCCGCCAAAACUCCUACUCGAGUCAGGAAAACGACGUCUUAAGCUCAGAAUGGCCUCCAAUCCAUAAAACGAAGUUUCUCAUAGCUAUGGCCAAACCAGCUCAGUAUGCCACGUCGUUUAUAACACGUCACUAAUUAAUGAUUUCUCUAAUCGUGAUCUUGAGCAUUCUUAAUUUAGAUCGGUCACAUUCAUGAAUUACAUUCUUAAUUUAGUUUCUUACUCGAGUCAUAAUUAGUCUACCUGAAUUUGUAUCGUAAAUCUUAUCUGAAUCUAUAUCCUACAAUUUAUUCUUUAUGAUUUACUUAUGAUUCUAUGUCCUUUUCUAUAUUCUAUAUCCUAUUUAUAUAUAUUCUUUUUGAAAUUUUUGAGAAGAGAAGCUUGUCGAGGGAGAUUUCUUGAGUUGAUUGCAAGCUUAAUUAAACGAUAAUAAUAUACAGAAAAGGUUCGUUGGAUUCAAUGAAAGGUGGUGAUAUCCCAAAAGAAUUGUUAGUUGAAAUCCUUUGUCGACUGCCGAGCGCUGAAGCUGCUUGUCAAUGUAAGCUUGUUUCAAAGAGUUGGUGCACUCUCAUAUCGAAGCCUUACUUCAUUGGACGCUUUCUGUGGAUCCAAAGAGCGAGAAAAGCAAACCGCAGUGCUUGGUACUAUAAUAAACGAAUUUGGGGAUGCACUCCUUGCCACAGAACUGACAGAAGUAGUGUUCAGUGUUCACGGCCCAGGAGGCCAGGAGGGUGUGGUUUUCAAGUUUUGACAUGUUUUCCAAUAUAGGGUAGCAUAUAUAUUGAGCUCAAUAUGAUUCAAAAUAACGCUAAAACAGUGUUUUGUAUCUGCUUUUUUAUUCAUUACAGAUUGAGAAUUUAGCAUUUGAUGAAAUGAUUCCUGGCAUAUGUCUCUGCCAUCUACUCAUGCAUGCCCUUCUCCUAGUUCUAUUUCAAUUACACAUCUGCAGCUGCCCUCUAGCAUUACAGAAAUCCUCAGAUGGUUCCAGUAUUCACAAGCACAAAUUGAAGCAGGGCAAGGACGUGUUGAAUACGGCGGACCAUAUAUACUAGUCUGGGGUGACUCUGGUCCCUUUGCUAUAUGGAAUGCCUCUAAAGUCUAAAGUCAUGGCCUGAGUCUUUGGCCUUUAUGACUGCUUCCUACUACUCACUUUCAACGGACCCAUGCAUGCCUAUAAUUUCUACGUUCCCAGUUCAAUUCCAGACAUGAUUGAUUUCUCUACUGCAACAGCAUGGACGUCGACAUUGACACAGACAUUAUUGGAUAUUAAUUCGUGCCUCAUUUCAAAUCCUGGAAAUAAGCUCAUGAAAAAGCUCGAGCUCUAUAACCUUCCUAUAUAUUUUCCAAGAUGAAUAUAUAAUCUCAACCAUGUGCUGAUCAUCAUACUAAAGAAUAAUAAUCUCUCAACCAACUCGAUUAUGAUAUAUUACGCAAAUUAAUAUCGAAUUUGAAUUAUUUGUUAAUAUUAAAGAGUUUGAACAUCAACGUUUCAUGAGUUUGAAUUCUAUAUAUGAUUACCAAACAUAAGUUGACCAGAAGCUUCCAAGGAGGCUGAGGCAGUAUCCAGGUAACUUCAGUUCGUGAAGGCCUAUGAAAAGUAUAUAUCAUACAACUAGAGUGCACGCAUCUAUUUGUAUACACGAAAAUAUGAAAAUGACAUAAUCUGCUUCUUCGUUGAAGAUAAAAAUUCUCUAUCUGUAGAUUAAUAAACGUACAAGUGCCAAUUCCAAAAGCAUUUCUAGAAUGUGUAAUUACAUAUUACAUUGACAAGAAAAAAAACUAACACAUUUUCACCGCGCGCCAUGGAUCGGCUCCAGCUAGCUGUCUUCUGUUGAUGAAUAUAUGAUACACAGUCCAAACCCAAUAAAUCACACCCUGCAUACAAUACAUAUAUAUGAAAAAAUCGAAUAUUUGAUCAUAUUAGGUGAAACUCAAUGAAGGUGAGGUGAUCAAUCAAUUAAAUUAGCUUACUGUUGGAACUCAAUGUUGACGGAAGUAGCCGAUGAGUUGGCAAUAGCAGCGAAAGCCGUCUGCGACAACACCAUGGUGGUGCCGGCCGCAGAAGGCUGUGAAGUAACGCUGGCAGCAUACUCCACAAUCCUGAUCUGAAUGGUCUUGUCCGGAACACACGUCCCCGUUUGAGCUGCGCUAAUGCAUCUCACCAAGUACUGCCUCCCACAUGACGCUCCGUUGUCCCAUAUUCCAUCUCCGGCCGCCGCAAACAAGUUACUUGACGGAAACUGUGACGAGUCGCUUCCAUAACAGUCGGUGGCUAAAAGGGAACAAUAUUUGUGAUAAGGGUAAUGUCCAUAAGAACAUAAAUGGUUCACAUGAAGAUGGGUAAAGAUGUAACUUACGUAAAUAUGGGGGAGCAUACUGAGCAGCAGUGCCAACGUCGGCGUUUGAUGUUUGGAAAAGCUGUGGAAAUAAGAGCACGAGGAGUAAUGAAAGGUAAGGCAGAUAUUGUGGAUGAGUUGUGAUCAUCUUUUUCUCUGCAGAAAAGGGUGUUUGAGAUUUGGAAGAUAAGCUCUGGGAUGCAAGGAGAUUUUUGUAUUCUAUAUUAUUCCAAGUCAACGAAAAUUGGGUAUCAUUUUUAUCUAGAAUUGACGGCUAGGCCAACUCAUAACGCGGGUUCGGCAGUUAAACGUAAGCCACAUGGUAUGAACUCUAUCUAGAACUCAUCUAACACGUUUACUUUUUGUUUCUGGUGUGUCGUAGACUACUGUAAUAUUCGACUCAUAAUAGACUAAUUGUUACAUAAACGAGUAGACUAUUGUAAUGUUCGACUCACAAUAGACUAAUUGUUACAUAAACGAGUUGGUAUCCGUUACCUAAGCAAGAAAGGUCUGAAAAUCUAGAUCAGAUGAUCUAAUCAAUGAAUUGAUAACCAUUACUUAAGCAGGAAAGGUCUGAAGAUCUAGAUAAGAUGAUCUAAUUCGGUGAGGGGAUUGGAGUAUAGCUACGUCAUGCUUUGCUUCCUAUGAGGGUCACAGUUAUAUAAUUACAAUAUAAACUGCAAAAUUCAAUGAUCCUCCACCGAAUAAAUAUGACUUUUGCAGUUCAUAAUUCAAUGCCUUCUCCAUUCAUGAUCCAACUAACCAGAUCACAUUUGACAUUUUCCAAUGAUUGCGGUAUCCAGAAGUUCACCAGAGGAGGAAAGUGAAUUUGAAGCUUAAUAUGGUGUAGACAUACACAAGUCUAAACACUGAAAUUUGUACCAAAAGGAUCCCAAACAAACAAAGGAGCUUUGGUGCGUUUACAACAGUUAAAAAACGCAGAGUAAAGCAGUAAUAAGCGUCCGCGUAAGAACAUCUCACUUCCACAGCUUGCGCAGGGACAUGUUCUUCUCAGUCUCCUUCUUCAUAACCUUGGCAACUGCCAUCUCAAAGUCUUCUUGGGUUACAUGCACUCUCCUCUCCCUCAGUGCAAACAUUCCUGCUUCAGUACAUACAGCCUGCGAGAAGGAAAACAAGAUAACAUGGUUAGAUCUUAUAUGUCCAGACAAAAUACCAACUUCCUAAUGACUCCCCCAGUAAGAAGAAAACACAACAUUACCUUCAACUCAGCACCAGAUGCGCCAUUCAUUUUCUCGGCAAUCUUCUUCAGGUCUAUUCCACGCAUUAAAUUCAUUCUUCUUGAAUGGAUUUUCAGGAUGUCCCAACGAGACUCUUCGUUAGGGUUGGGAAAUUCAAUUUUCCUGUCUAUGCGUCCUGGCCUCAGCAGGGCUUGAUCCAAAAUAUCAAUACGAUUUGUAGCCAUCAAAACCUGAGAUAUAAUGGUGGUGGUUAGAAUGAAGGAUAAAAUUUAGAAAGGUGAAUGUCAUAAUUUUCGAAAGCCACAUGAUGCAUCGUGUACCUUGAUUUUGUUUGAGGCCUCAAAUCCAUCCAGUUGAUUAAGAAGCUCAAGCAUAGUCCGCUGCACCUCACUGUCACCAUUGCCACUGCCAGAUUCCAUACGAGCAGAUCCAAUACUAUCGAUUUCAUCCAUAAAGAUGAUAGAUGGAGCAUGUUCCCUGUAUGAAUGUAGAAGUAAAAAAGUGAGAAAACGGUAGAUGAUAUAAUGUGAAGAAUGUUAAGGGCUGAAGAGCAGCAAAUUAUUAAUUGAUUAAAGAUCCUAUCCACAAAUCAUCUUAAAGAAAGGUUGUUAUAUUUAUUUUAGAAUGGGUCUGAGUAAAUGGCCAUUCUUGAUUCUUCUUUGUGGGGCAGCAACGGACAUAGACGUAGAGAAACAUCCCUAAUUCUAUCCAGAUCAGCAUAGAUUGAUCAUACUAGGAGUACUAUACAAUACAAAUUGCAAUAGAAAGCUUAUUCAACAAAUUAGAGCCCCAUUAUAAAACUCUAGGAUCUACUGUAGUUCAUUUAAAAAGCAAACAGAAUUCAGAAACCAAGCAGCAUUAUUCACAUGCCAACAAUGCAAACAUAUGGAAGAGUAGGAUGAUUAACAAUAGAUCAACACAAACCUGGCCAUGACGAAAAGUUCUCUAACCAUUCGGGAACCUUCCCCAAUGUAUUUCUGAACCAACUCUGAACCAGAGACCCUGAUGAAAGUACAGUCGGUAUGAUGAGCCACAGCCCUAGCCAACAAGGUUUUUCCAGUGCCGGGGGGACCAUAAAGCAGGACUCCCUGUUGAAUCAAACAAAGAGUGCCAUAGGAUUAGUGACUACGGGUAAGCAAAUAAUAAAAAAAAACCAAUAAAUUGAAAACGUAAUUAUACCUUUGGCUGAGCUAUUCCAAGACUUUCGAACAAUUCAGGAUGUUUAAUUGGAAGUUCAAUGACCUGCAAAAAUGAACAUAUAUCAUUUAGACAAGUUGAAGAAUGUCCUGAGUAUUAUCACAUAGAGACAAGCCACACUCGACAAAUACAGCUAGCAGAGAAUCUAAAUUCAAGCCAAAUUUGAAACACGGACUGACGUUGACCAGUGAAUCUUCUUCCUCAAGAAGGAUACAAUCUUAUCACCUACUAGAAGAGCUCUUAGUUAUCUAAGUAAUGUAACAUCUAUAAGAAGAUAAGUAACAGUUGGAAUAUGAAAACAACUUAAUCCUUCUAAUAACAUAUAAACCAAAAUGCAGUUCAAAGAAAAGAAAAUAAGUCAAAGUUGAACUCUGGAAGAGAGAUGCUGUCAAGAUAUUGAUGCAUAUGGGAUUGUGGAUUAAAUGAAAAGAGGGGGGAGAAGAAUAAGAAAGAUAAAGGCAAAACUGAAAAGGGUAUGCCUGCAAGUUAUGUUUAAUCUGAUCUUUUAUAUUCAUCCAGACAAUUUUUGUAAGAAUGAAGACAUGACAAGUAAUUAGAUAUAUGAGUUUAGCUUAUACCAUGAGACCUAUACAGGUAGAUAACCGGAAAUGAAAGCCAGGUGGCAUAACAGUACAAAAGUAAUACAACAAAAACGCAAACUAAAAUAGACACAAGUAUCGUGCAAAGAAUCUAAAUUCAAGAGUAAGAAUGUGCAGAAGAAAACCUCUUUGAUUUCUUUAAUCUGCUGAUCCAGACCACCAAUCAUAUCAUAUGUAGAAUCUGGAACCUUCUCCACUUUCAUCAGAUUGACAAGAGGAUCAACUUUGCUUGGCAGUACUAAAUGAAGAACAUAGCUGUCAUUGCGGAGAGCCACACGUGUAGAUGGUGUGAUCUUUGUAAUAUCAAUGUUCUUAUCGAUAUCAACCACAUAUUUCCCUUCCGGAUGAACCUGAAAACAAAGCAGGUCAAAAAUUUGUCAGAUGUUGUUAUCGACUUGCAGACAGAAUGUUAACUAUUUCACUGUUUGUUAAAACACACAGCCACUUACCUUAACCAAAACCUUGUUCUUUCCCAUGACGUUGACAACCUCACCGACAUAGGACCCAGGCUCCUGAAGAAGCUGCAGUUCUUCCCUGAGCAUUCUCACUGUUCAAAACACAUAAACAAUCAAUCCAAUAACUCAGUUAAGUAACACACUAACAUACCAAAUUAAGCAAAAUCUAUAUAACCAAAGAUCCCAAAAGGUACAACAUCUUCUAGAAUAAUUCUAGUGCACUUGUUUACUCAUCUUGUUCACCAAGAUUUACACUUUACCCCGAAAUCAAAUAUUUGCCCUAAUUUUAUCCCAACAGAAAGCAGAAGCCAGCACCUUUUCACAUUCAAUCAACAAUUGCUAAGAACCCCAUCAAACUAUAUCAGCUAGCCCUAAACCCAAACCAAACUAAACCUAAAAUUACCCUAAAUUGAGAACCCAGUACCAAUCGGAACAAACCCUAACCAGUCCAAUUGAAAUUCCUAUAACCAAUAACCAGUUACUAGGGUUAGGGAUUCGAAAAAUUGAAUUCCCAAUUGGAAUUAGAGCCUCACCUCUGGAAUUGAGCUCGUUACGCUGAGCCUCGAGUCGAUUGAGAUUGUGGGUCUUCUGGCGGACCUGGAGCUGGAGCUCGUGAAUGUGUUGGAGGUAGUACGGCCGGAGCCCAUCGCCGAGUUUGGAGGCGGCGAGCUUGGACGAGCAGGUCUCCUCCGGCACGGCAUCGAUGGGCUUGGUCUCGGCGGCGACUGCAGCCAUCGUGAUCAAGCAAAGCCCUAAACUUUGGAAUCGGAAUUUGUGAGAUUGGCGAUUUGGGGGUGUGAGGAGUUUGAGAGAAGAGAGAUGUCGUGUGUGUCGUUUUGAGUUGGAAAACAAAGGUGAGGGGAGGUGUGUUUUAUUUAUGGGGGAGGGUUUCUUUUUGGUUAAGUUAGCUUUGUAAGGGUAGGAGAUGGAUUAGAGGAUAAUGGGCACAUAUUAGGAAUUACUGCAAAUUUUAGGAUUUCUGUUCUUUUGUUUAAAUUGAAUUGCUAUUUUCUUAAGGAAGUUGCAAACAUGGAAUCCUUGUUGUGAGAUUAGUUAUUGGGGGGACAAUAAAAAUGAUAAUAUUUCAAAGGAAAAUACUUGUGUCCGGACUAGUAUAUACGUGCGUGUCCGGACUCUCUGUUAUUUACACACUUUUGGUAAUGUAAAUCAUAAUCUUAAGUGUUCAAAAAUUUGAUUAACUAAUAAAUAUCAUCUCUGUAAAAUAUCAGUGUAAAAAAAAUCGUUUGCUUAGCCGAAUGAAUCAAAUAAAUUGACGGCUAAUCAUGAGGCUGUUAACUUUCACCAUAAGUAUUCAUUUGUUUAAUACAAUCGGGUGAGCAAACGAAUUUUGUUUACAUUAAUUUUUCACAGAGAUAAUCUUUAUUGGUUAAUCCAACUUUCGAACUGUUAAAAUUAUGAUUUACAUUGUCGAAAGUAUGUAAAUAACAGAGAAUCCGGAUGUACACGUACAUACUAGUCCACAAGUAUUUUUCUAUUUCAAAUUAGUGACACUCAAGAGACGAGGGAGAUUACUAGUUGACGAGGUUUAAGGUGAUAGUUUCAUGUGUCUCAUCUUAGAUUUCGACUAAGUUUCAUUAUUAUUCUCAAUGUUCACAGCUUUUAAAUUGCAUAUAGCUUUAAUAUGUGAAUCAUACACAUUUUCUAGUGUGUCGAUUGGUGAACAACACUCUUACAGAUUUCAUUAAAGAAUCGUUGCUCAUUUCAUUAUAGAAUAACAUGUAUCACUUCUCUUUGAAUCAUUUCGACUGUCGGCAUAAGUUUCAUUCUUUUUACAUGCUUCACAAUAAUAGUAUGAACAAGUAGACAAUUUAAGAGACCUGAACUGAAGGAGUUUGGGCUGCAUUGGACUACCUAAGAAAGCCCAUUGUUCAAUAGAAGGAAGGCCCAAGAGUGGAGCCUAUAUAAUUGAGAGCAUUGCCAAACAUGGUCUUUGCGCCUAGCCCUCUGUGUGAGUCUGUUCCUCUUUUUAACAUUUUUCUUUUAGAUUUCCAAAUUAGGUUUUCUCCUCUCUCUCUGUAAUUUCUCCUCACUAUUAGAUUUUGAUUCCACCAUUGUUGUUUUGAGGGUUAGGAGGUGUGGAUUUGUGUUUCAAACUCCUUAUUGAUAUUUCGUCUUCCCACCUGUUUCCAAAUACCGCCAAAUUUUUCUAUCUCCGCAUAAAAAAAUCCCCAAAUUGAGAAGAACAAAAGCUUUGAUUUUUAGGGCAAUCUAACACAAUUAGGGUUAGGGUUUCAAUCUCAUAAGUACAGAUCACGAAAAAGAAAGCAUCUUUUUUUAGUUUUUGUUUUUGGGCUUUCGAUUAGAUAUGGAGAAGAAGAAGGUGGCUGUGCCUCUGGUUUGCCACGGCCAUUCCCGGCCGGUGGUGGAUCUGUUUUACAGUCCGGUCACUCCCGAUGGCUUCUUCCUCAUCAGUGCCAGCAAGGGUAUGUGUUCCGAUAUCGAAAGAUUCGAUCUUUUUUCGUGUGUUUGGAUUGAAUUACAUGCUUUGGGUGGUUCUAUUUUACUCUGUACAAUGCUGCGUAUAUGUAUAUGUGUAUGAUUGGGGUUUUGUUUCGUGAUAACUUAUGUAGAUUGGUUUGAAAUCGUAAUGGAGGGAUGUUUUGACUAGUCUUUGUGAUAGUAAGUUAUGGUAGAUUAAGUAAACUUGCAAUGGGAUAUGUUCUUAGGAUAUAUAGUCCAGCUGAAAGGAAAUGUUUUGGAUCAGUGGUUUCAUGUCACGUUUAGAAACCUUAGAGCUACUAGAAGUUGAACAUUUAUUGCACUAUCAGUGUACUCAACAGUAGUGAUUUUGGGAUAUUGACGAAUAAGGUGUAUUGAGUAUAUGAGGUGUUAAGAUCAUUGUUGUGUUGUUGCUCUUUAAUGGGUUGCGAUUGGAAAUCUUCUUUAAUCUGUGUAAGUUAUUUAGAUAGCGAACUGAUAUAGAAGUUUUUGAUGCUUGUGUUGUUAGAUUCUAGUCCCAUGCUGAGAAAUGGUGAGACUGGAGAUUGGAUUGGAACCUUCGAAGGACAUAAGGGUGCAGUCUGGAGCUGCUGUUUGGAUACUAAUGCCCUAAGGGCUGCCACCGCUUCCGCAGAUUUCUCUGCGUAUGGAUUUAUCUUUUGAUUUCCCAGAUUUCUCUGCGAGUUGAAAAUGAAAACCUUAAUUCUGUUUCUUAAGUAUGUUAUUUUUGCAUGCAGUAAAGUUUGGGAUGCGUUAACAGGAGAUGUUCUACACUCUUUUGAACAUAAGCACAUUGUUCGAGCAUGUGCGUUUUCAGAGGUAAGCUCCUGUUCUUGACCUAACAGCUCUGUAGAAGUGAAAUAAACUUACAGAGUAAUCAUACAAACUGUGCUCUUUCCAUUUUCUGUAGUGUUAUCUGCUUGAAAUGUCAUGCUAAAUGUGAUAAUGUUGAAUAUUAUGUGUAAUCGACUGUGUUAAAUUCAUUUGGAGUAGCUAUCUGCCUACCUCUAAUUUGAAAAUGAUUUCCUAGUGGUUUAUGUGCUAUAUUAAGAGGGAUUCUAAUAUAGUGGUAGACUUUGAAUAUUUCUUUGGGGCUUAGUUGUUUGUUACACAUCAGCCACUAAAGUUCAUGAUAAUAUUUUGAAUCCAUCAUAGUUGGUGCAGGUUUUAAUUUCAACAGUAUAUGAGAUUUUAUGCUGGAGUUCUCCUAUAUGCCAUGCCUUUUCUUAUUUUCUUGUAUCAUAAUUCUAUUCUCUUGAUUUGGUAAUAGGAUACACACCUUUUGUUAACUGGAGGAGUAGAGAAAGUUAUCCGUAUAUACGACUUGAACAGACCAGAUGCCCCUCCAAGAGAAGUGGACAAAUCCCCUGGUUCAGUUAGAACUGCUGCAUGGCUCCACAGUGAUCAGACCAUAUUAAGUUCUUGCACUGAUAUGGGCGGUGUCAGGUAUACAUUUAUAUGAAAAUAAUUGAUGUUAUGAGGACUCAAUUGUUCUAUAUUAAGUUGCACAUAUUUCGUACUAUAAAGUGACGGGUAGUGAUUGACUGAUUGGUGAAUGUGCAGAUUGUGGGAUGUAAGAACUGGGAAAAUAGUUCAAACACUUGAUACCAAGUCAUCUGUAACAAGCUCUGAAGUCAGUCAAGAUGGUCGAUACAUCACCACUGCUGAUGGGUCUACAGUCAAGUUCUGGGAUGCAAAUUAGUAAGUUAUGAGUUAGAAUGUUCAGUAUUUUUCAGAGUUUCUGCUCAGUUAGCUUAUGCCUUUUACUUGCUUUCAGCUUUGGGUUGGUGAAGAGCUACAACAUGCCUUGCACAGUAGAAUCAGUGUCCCUGGAACCCAAGUUUGGGAAUAAGUUCAUUGCUGGUGGAGAAGACAUGUGGGUUCAUGUUUUCGAUUUCCAUACUGGUGAUGAGAUCGGUAAGUAAACUAUAACAAAAUACUUUUCUUAUUGAAUCUUCUUUGGGGUGGAUGUUGUGUGUUAAUGUCCUUGGAUUUUAUGCUGUAUUUCCAAUGCUGAAUCUUUACUCAAGCUAUUGUAUCUUGAUGCAGCCUGCAACAAGGGUCACCACGGUCCAGUGCACUGCGUUCGAUUUUCUCCAGGAGGAGAGUCCUACGCCUCUGGGUCCGAAGACGGCACCAUCCGAAUAUGGCAGACAGGCCCUUUGACUAAUGAAGAAAGUGAGGCGCAGGCAGCAAAUGGAGCUAUCGGAAAGGUGAAGCCACCCGUGGAAGAGGUCUCUCGAAAGAUUGAGGGCUUCCAAAUCUCCGACGAGGGCAAGUCCAAAGAGAAGGAAGAGGCACCGUCAGCAGCCACAGCAUCGGUGAAUGUGUGACUUUGUUCAGAGUGUCUGUCCAGAGAGUGUAUUAGCCGUUGCCCGGCACAAGUUCAGAUCUAUUCCUGGUUAAAGUACUACUUGGGUUACAUAGACAGAUGGAAACAAAUUUUUUGUACAACUUUCACUUCUGCAUUGUCGAGAUAUAUAGACUAUGUUCUUGUUACUGCUUGUUCAGACUACCUUAUAAAUGGAACUUUUCAGCUUCUUCUGGUUUAUAUUUCCUUCUAAGAAUAUGGAUCAUAACAUAUCAACAUAGCCUAAAAAUCAAUCCUUAAUUCCUAACUAGCUGACAAAGGAAGAGCAGAAUGCCAUGCUUGAAAUUAGGAUUGUAGUCUCAUUUGUGACAAUCCUAUGUGUUCAUAAUUUAAAGUUGGGCAAAUGUCAAUUUAGUACUAAUUUUAAUCAUUCAUUGUCAAAGUUGGGCAAAUGUCAAUUUAGUACUAUUCCAACGACAAUAUGUUUUAUGAGCCUAUUUGAAACCUUUUUAUGCUUAAAUAGUCAAAUUUUUAUUAAAGUCUAUUAGACUAUUUUAACAAAUUAUAUUAUUUUGAGACUAUAUUACUUCCACCGCUUAAACAUGCAUUGAGAGAAAAGACUUCACCGGAACCUCAGACUUUGGCAACUGGCCACCAGACUCCUGUCAUCGGAAUUUCUCCGGUCACCGGUAACUUGGUUACUAACCCCAGUAACUUGAUUACUGAUCCCCAAUAACUCAUAUAUUUCCCAGUCGCCGGAUUUCGGUCAUCGUAACUCGGUUACUGACCCCUAAUAAUUAGUUAGUGACGGCCUUGAACUAUUACAAUGUCACAAGUGGUUUUUUAGUAUCUUCUAAUACCUCAAUUACCAAUUAUCUUAAAAAUAAAAUCGUUUACAUCCCACCAAACUGGGAAACAUGGAAGAAGAAAUUUAUGUCCAUAGCCACUAGCUUUGUGAUAUCACACACUACAAUCACGUAUAUAUACCCACAAAAUGAGCUUCGCAUUGGGAUAUUGUCACCUACAUGUUGUGACUUGUGACUUGUGUGGAACUGUUUCGGCAUGACCACUUCCCUCUUUCAUACCCUGCCUUCUACUUUGGAUACCAUCAUAAGGCGAAACCAAAAAUUUUAAUCGAAGGGAGCUAAUGUUAGCUUGUGCUGUCAAGUUCAUCAUUUCAUAUAAAGCUUAAUUUUCUACAACCAUGACUUCGAUGACUCUAACUCUAUGAAUGUGUAGCUGUUUUAAUUUUUAUAUAUUUGUAUUUUGAAGAGAUAAUUAGCUGUUUUUGAAAGCUAUACUAUGGAGAUUGUGAGGUCGCUGCAACCAAUUUUCUGGGCAAAAGGUUCUUAAACUGCCUUUCCGCUUCAAGUCAUUUAGGCCAUUUGCUGAGGUGCACUUAUUCUAAACUAAUACUAUAUUAAUCAUUGGAGCUCAGUUUAAAUUCAUUAGAAUGUAUAUGGCUCUCUUUGUAAACCAAACAUUCACAAGUAACAAUUUUACGAUCAACAUUGUCAUGUGGUGGUUCAGGUCAAUAACAACACUGACAUGAGACUCGUACUAGAAGAUGGAUGGAUCGGCUUCAUUCUCAAUUUUCAUGCCAUAUACAUGCAAAUGCAUUUUAAGGUUGUUAGCCAUAGCUAGUACUGCACUACAAUAAUUGAUAUAGCUACCUGAUAACAGCAAAGCCACUGUGGAAUACAUCGUGUUUCCAAUUGGGUCAGAUUAUCAGUCACUACUGAACACGUUUAAUUUGCAUCUUUCGCCCAUUUCCUCACCAAUUCAGGAGACUUGACUUGUUUACAUCGUUUUGAGAAAUUAAAAUGUUUCUCACGCUCGCACAUAAAACAAGAUUCAUGUCAUAUCGAUUUACUGUAGGAGAUGAAUAUCAAAUAGUCGAUGGAUUCAUUGAACUAUUUGACGACUCGAUUUUCAUGACACAUAUAUGCAUGUGGCGGUCGCUAGUACUUGUACCUUUCUUGGUCUGGCUUAUUGAGCUCUUGUAGACAUUUUACUAUAAAUACCAAAGAAACGGAAGCAUUUCAACUCAUACUACUACCCAGCCACUUAAUCAAACCUCUCAUAUAAUUUAGCCACAUUGAACUAUGUCUCUCACCUCCGUCAUUUUAGCUUCCCAAUCCCCUCAAACCCUGAAUAAUGCCGAUACUCGACGUUCGGCUAAAUACCAUCCCAGUAUUUGGGGAGAUCGGUUUCUGUCUUAUAACAACACUAUGGUUUGUACAUCCUCGACAUUUAGCAUACAUCUGUUACAUUUUGUUAUCUGCAUGUCUGAGCCUUAUCGAUGUAUGUAUUAAUUUGUUUCUUUAACUGGCUUGUAUGUAGGAAACUAACAUGCAAGGUAAGCAACAAGUAAUCCAACAACUGAAGGAAGAAGUGAAGAGGAUGCUGAUGGCUCCGCCGGUUGAAACUGGUUUGGGAAAACUGGAGUUGAUUGAUGACAUUCAACGCUUAGGCGUGUCUUACCACUUCGAAUACGAGAUUGACCAAACUAUGCAGCAAAUUCACGAAAACCUUAAUGGCACCUAUGAUGAUGAUGACUUGCACACUUGUGCUCUUCGUUUUCGCUUGCUAAGGCAGCAUGGUUAUAAUGUUUCUUGUGGUAAUUGAGAUCUCGACAAUCCUAUUCAUUCAUUUUAUUUUGUUUUAAAUAAGGCUAAUUUUGAUGCAUUGGCAUAUGAAUAAUUAAGCAGAUAUGUUCAACAAGUUCAAAGAUUGUGAUGGGAAAUUCGACGAAUCGCUUCACCACGAUGUAGCAGGACUCCAAAGCUUGUACGAAGCCACACAUCUUAGGGUGCGAGGAGAGGAUUUUCUAGAAGAAGCACUAGCCUUCACAACCACACAUCUACAGUCGGCAGCAAAUCGUUUGAGCCCCCCGCUUUCGAAACAAGUAAGGCAUGCCUUGAAUCAGCCACUUCGGAAGGGCUUACCGAGGCUAGAAGCGAGGCACUACAUGUCUCUUCACCAGGAACUGCAUGGAUCACGUAACCAUGUUUUGCUGAGAUUUGCAAAGCUGGAUUUCAACCUGCUCCAACAAGUGCAUCAGAAAGAACUAAGUGAUAUUGCAAGGUUGAUACUAUCUGUUACCACACACAUUAGAUAGGCACCAGACAUGAAAAUUAACGUUACAUUUUUUCUCCAAUUAAUUAGAUAAAUAUGUGUGAUCAUCACUAAUUAUGUGAUUCAUCAGGUGGUGGAAGAAGUUGGACUUUGCUAGCAAGCUUCCUUUUGCAAGAGACAGAGUGAUUGAGUGCUACUUCUGGAUUUUGGGUGUCUACUUUGAACCCAAGUAUUACUUUGCUAGGAGAACCCUUACCAAAGUUAUUGCCAUGACAUCCAUUAUUGAUGACAUUUACGAUGUGUAUGGCACUCUUGAAGAACUAGAUCUCUUUACUAGAGCAAUUGAGAGGUUUGAAAUUGAUAUAUAUUUUUCUUCCCUUAUAUUAUAUUCUCAAUUUAUUCCGGACUUAAGCUUCACCACUUACCAUCGCCGUUCGUCUUCUUAUUUGCAGAUGGGACAUCUCAGCCAUGGAUGUACUGCCGGAGUAUAUGAAAUUCUGUUACGAGGCACUCUUAGAUGUUUAUGCUGAAGCAGAACAGGGGCUUGCAAGCGAGGGAAAAUCAUACCGUAUCGAUUAUGCAAAAGAAGCGGUAAUUAGUUAAUUAAGCCUCAAUUUUGCGUUUAGUAUUGUGAUUCCAAAGGUCGUUGAAGGUUAAGUAACAGUUGAUUUGCUGCAUAUAUGUCAUAGAUGAAGAGACAAGUUAGGGCAUACCAUGCUGAAGCCAAAUGGUUCCACAACAACUACACACCAACAAUGGACGAAUACAUGGAAGUAGCCCUCGUCACUUCAGCCUACUCAAUGCUAGCAACCACAUCCUUUGUUGGAAUGGGAGAUAUUGUUACUAAAGACUCUUUCGAGUGGAUCUUCAGUGACCCUAAGAUGGUAAAGGCUUCAGCAGUAGUUUGCAGACUCAUGGAUGACAUUGUAUCCCACAAGGUACUUGAAUUUGCUGCAGUAGAAAUUAUAUAUCUUAAAACACUUCCUUAGCUAAUUCUGACCUUAAUGUUCUUGGCAUGGCUAUACAGUUUGAGCAAAAGAGAGGACAUGUUGCUUCGGCCGUGGAAUGCUACAUGAUACAAUACGGUGCGACAGAAGAAGAAACCAUAAUCGAAUUUCGAAAACAAGUGAGUGAUGCAUGGAAGGACAUAAAUGAAGAGUGCCUCCACCCUACCUCUGUCAACAUGCCUCUCUUGAUGCGAGUUCUGAAUCUCACACGCGUGAUAGAUGUACUGUACAAGUCUGAAGAUGGCUACACUCAUGCUGGAACCAUACUCAAAGAUUUUGUAGCAUCUCUACUGGUAGAUCCUGUGACUGUAUAAGUGAAAACUGGGAACCUUUGUUUUAGUUCUUACAAGAUGUUUGAACUUAGUAUUGGAGUUGCAGGAGUGUAAUGUCAAAAGCAAUCCUUGUAAUCCCAACCUUUGUACGUUGGGAUCUAAUAUGUGGGUCUUAUUUUUUCAGUUGCAACUUUGAUAGUUCAUCUAAUAACGGAAAAGAAAUUCAAAGUCAUUUUGAUAAAGUAGUCUGGGGUUCACAUCCAAAACCAAUUGGCCAUGGGUGGAGUGGCCUAAACCCUUAUAAAUUCACAGGCAAGGUCCCAUAUUCCCGAUGUGGGAUUCAUAUCUCAACACAUUUUCUUUGAAUACGAACCUUUGACUUUGACAGAACAAUACGAACUCGAGCUUGUCCACGCUGAAAUCCUCCGUUGUCCACCUGCAAAACUCAAGUUAUUUUUCAUGUGUGGACUUAUUGUUGUCAGCAUGUACUUUUUCUGAGUUGGUCUUGAUUAAGUUCAUUUGGAAAUGGAAAAAUAGAAUAAGAGAUUCCGUGUAAGCAUAAGAGCUUAUGGACCACCAAAGCAUACUAGGAUAUGUAGUAAUUGGUUUUGAAUAAGAACUUAACAAGUGAGAAUAGAUAUGGAUAUGGAUCUUAGUAAAUAAACUAGACAAUAGAUCCAGCCGCGCCCUGCUGUGAUUCAAUAAUUCGAUUACUUCGGUCACUGGUUCAUAAAGAGUUCAUUCGAAAUUGUGUUUACUUUUGUUUACCUUUCCUAUACAAAUUUCAUCUACUGAUAUCCGUAGGAAAAACAGACUUGUUAGAAUCUAAAAUUAAGAUUCUCAAAAUGACUGGAGAGACUGUACCACAUGUCAAUGAAAUAAACAACUCAAAUCUCAUCAAAACCAUUUAAAUCAAGGCCAUGUUAGUCUCUUAAAAAAGAAUUUGAUCACUUGUCUUGCUAUUUGUUUAUAUGUUGAAGCAAAAUUUACGAUUAAGUUACGAAUGCUUAUCUAAGACCCUAAAACAUGGUUACUGCCAACACAAACUAACAUAUUCAAAAGAGCAUAUCAAAUGGUAGCUGCACAUUAGAAUUUGAGGGCUGAUCUACUUGUAAAUUUCAGUUCACUAAGUAUUCAAAUCCCUAGUAUUUUGGAAAAAUGCAUCUGAAAAGCCAAGAAUAAAAACCUAUCAAAAAACUUGAUAGAAGGAGAGGGCAAUGACCUCAAAAUAAGGGUAGAAUCCCACUCUCACCAUUGACUGAACUCUUGGGAUAGUAGAUUCUCACUGAGCUUUCUACUUUGUGACUGCUACUCCAUAUUCAACCUCCAUUCUGCAAAUUCAUGAGCGACUUUCAUAUGUUCUUGCUGCAGAGAAUAAUUGAGUUUAUAGUUAAAAUCAGAGUGACCAAGAAGUCGAUAAGGACAACAUAAUAAUUUUCUAAUGAAAAAAGGAUGUUUACCUUAGCAUUUUACUCUCAGAGGGAUCCUUUUCCUCCAUAAUUUGGAGAAGACCUUGCCACCAAACCAGCUCAGUUGCCAUUAGCUACAGUAACAGAAUCACAUUCCAAUGCUCCCAAUUCUAAGCAGAUGUUAAUGGAUAAAAGCAGUCGUCCACCAGCACUGACAAACAUGCAUACAAAUAGAAUAAGGGCAAGAAAAAAAAAGUCAAACAGCGAAUUCCAGCCAUCACAUUCUUAAACUCCCUUUUAACAAAAUGACCACCUUUUCCCCUCAAUCAAUACCUAAGACCAAAAUCAUGUAAUUUUCUACGGUAUGUGAUACCACCACAAAACAUAAAUCUAAAUACCUUGAUGUCAAUAUAAGCUACUGUUCAAUAAAUGAGGCUGCAGCUGCCAACCGAAAUAGAACCAACCACACAGCAAGUAGCAUACCAACAAAUACUACAAUCACAGGCACACAAAUUAAAAAUUCAUAAAACAUAAAUAUCCUUUAGGUAACCAAACAUGAAAUACAAAUGUCACAAAACAGAGAUUUAGGAUCAUUGCCAGAAACAAAAAUCAUGUAAAAAACAAUCACAGAACACAACUUGCAGACAGAAUACCAACACAUACAACAGAUGGAUCGCAUCUUUUAGGAUCCUCAACAUGUAUAACCCAAUUUAUCAUUACCCAGAAACAAAAAGCGUCACUGCACCGUACCACCACAACAGUUAAUAGCUACAAAAACCUUUAGGUUCUAAUAAGCCAAUUUUGUUCUCAAUAGACAAUUAGAACAUGACGUCGCUAUGCUUCCAUAGUUCCAAAUGCAUAAAGUAUGCCAGGAGAACAUCCCAACUUGAAUUUUGUGGCCACAAAAUUUAGCGAAGAGAAAAAACUGCUAGCUUUCUAUAUACACACACACAACAUCAGGUUAUGCAUAUAAUCGCUUGCCAAUCAAAAAUUGUAGAAGAAAUUUUGCUAAAAUUGUAAGGAGGUGUGUAUGCCUUAGUAUAAUAAGGAACCCGACACACUUGACCAUAAAGCAUAAGCUCACAUCAGAUUCCAGAAACGCAAACAAUCCAUUGACAGAACAAUUGUUAUAUAAAUGUACAAAGAUAUCACCCACUGCUGAAAAGAUAACAACUGAACUUUGGUAUUAUAUUCAAUAUUUGAAUGUACUGGCAACUUCACAUGCAUCCCAUCUCUUUUCAUUUCAUUGUUAACCUUUAAUUUCCUACAAACCAUGAAACCAUAACGAAAGCAUGGAUGGUAGCAAAAUAACUUAUUGAUGAGCACCGAAGAUCAGAUGCUCACCACGAUUUAUCUAGCUUAUCGAAGAAGUACAAACCUUCCAGAUCAGUAAUACACACAUAGAAGAAUAACUCCACAAAAUUUCAAGUCAAAACGGAUUCUUACAUCCUAAUCAAACUCGAGUUCAAAACAGCAACACUGCAUAACAUAGACACAAUUUCAGCAUAGAGCACUCAACUUCAGAAAAUCACUACAAAGCGCCUACCCUAUCAAAUAGUAUCAAACUUUCUAGAUCAAGAGUUCACAUAUGGAAGAAAAAGAGUACAAAGUUUCAGAGCAAAUGGAGUCCUAAAUCUUGAUCAAAAUCAGACUCAAAAACAGCUGCACACAUAACACGAAUACAAUUUCAAACAUGUGAACAAAGUACAAUGAAGAAAGAUGUAUACACUGUUCCUUGUCCAACCCAUUUUGCCCCGCAGCAUAAUAGGAAAGCCAUGUGCAGUACUUUUUAGUUUGGAUAAGUUUAUGCCACACAUCAUAAUCCUUUUAUUUUAAGGAUCCUCUUCAUCGAUGUAGAAUCAUGUAUCAAUUCAAUCCAAUUCGAUCAAUUCAAUCUUAUUAGUGUUUAACAUGCAUCCACAUCCACAUCAAAGCCAAAAAUUGAAACCUUGAAAUGAAUAAUGAACCCCUCCUCUUCAUUGAUGUAGAAUCGUUGAGCUUCUGAAGCUCAUAACCUGCAAAAUCACCUUGUUCUUGUUGCCAAACCCAAAUUAAUUUUCAUCAGUCCCUCUCUAUCAGUAAGACACCGUAGUGGAAAGAAAAACAGUCGCACAGUGCGACGAAAAAUAGUAUGUUAAAUCCUCAUUGGACUAAUUGGAUAUGGUCAACUUAACCUUUUGGAUCAGAAUACAAAUAGAACACAAAAACCAUGGGUCGGUGGUAUUGUAAAUUGAAAGAAAAUAGAGGGGUAUAUAAGUCAAAGUGGGGGUGAAUAAGUACCCAAUGUAUCUAACCAUCCAUCCAUCCAAACCAUUAUUUUUUCUCUCUCUAAAAAUAUCUGGUUUUCUCUCUCUAGAGAGGUCUCUGUAAAUCGUCUGAAUCAAAAAGAUCAAAUCUUUGGGUUUAGUUUUUUUUUUUUUUUUCGCGGGAAGAGAUGUCAGGUAAAGGCGCCAAGGGUUUGAUUCAUGGCAAAGGAGCCAGCAACAGCAAAGAUAAGGACAAGAAGAAACCCACCUCCCGAUCCUCACGAGCUGGCCUUCAGGUGAUUACCUUUGCUUCUUUGUUCUUGUUUUUUCUUGAUUUUGGGAUUUUAGGGUUUCGAAUUUGAUUGUUGAGGUUGAGUUUGGGGGGUUUAAUUUGGUAAAGAUUGGAACUUUUUUUGGUUUUGGUAUUGGGUUUUGGUUUGUUUUGGUGAUGAGAAAGCGAAUUAGAAUACCCACAUGGGUUUGGGAACUUAAAAGAUUUAGUUUUUACGGAUGAAUAAUAGUUGUUGAAUUGAGAGUUGAUUUGGAUCGUUUUGGAAGGGCAUGAUUUUGUGUUUUUUCCUUAAACCAUGUUUGUUAGGAGAACCAUAAUCCGAUUGAAGAGUUUGAACUUGAUAGAGAUUUGAUAGAUAGAUACAUUGGAGGGGUGAAUUUUGAAGUUUGAAGUGUCUCGCUCCUCUGGAACAUGCUCUAUUCUAGAUUGUUGUUUACAUUAUGAAUUUUCAGGGUAUAACUGUUUCGAUAAGAUUGUGGAUGUCUAGAAGACUAGAAUAGACUAUGCUUGCUCUAUGUGUCUUGGUAAACAUGAUUGAGUCUUCCUACUCAUAGUAAACAGUUUAAAGUUUCUAAAAGUCCUACCUGAAUCUGUUAGAGAAGUACCAGCUAUACAAUAGAAAUAAUUUCGGUAUAUGAUGUUGAUUACAUAAGUUGUUGGAAUGAUGAUAAACCUACUUAUUUAUAUGAUGUUAGAGACGGAGGAUCCUAAUUAGAUACCUGCAAUCUCCCAAUUAUUAACUUUCAUGAAUAGACUCUCUAGUGGUGAGGGAACGAAGGGUUUGAAUGUAAGAAAGUAGAAACUUCUUAAGACUUUCAUUUAAAAACAUAGCUUCAGCCGUAUGUUAUGAACUUCCAAAGUGUUUCUCUGUCUCACUUUUUGUCCAUUAUUUUCAAGUCAGUUUAUGGACUAUACUAGAGUUGUUGAAUUUCUGCCAUCUACUAAUUCUGUGGUGACAAAUUUCUAGUUCCCGGUGGGUCGUAUCCACCGUCUCCUGAAGCAAAGGACCACAGCUAAUGGGAGAGUGGGAGCGACUGCUGCAGUUUAUUCUGCAGCUAUCUUGGAGUAUCUAACUGCUGAAGUUUUAGAGUUGGCAGGCAAUGCCAGCAAAGAUCUGAAGGUGAAGCGUAUCACUCCCAGGCAUUUGCAGCUUGCAAUCCGUGGUGACGAAGAACUUGAUACUCUGAUAAAAGGUACCAUUGCUGGUGGAGGUGUCAUCCCUCACAUUCACAAGUCACUUAUCAACAAGUCCACCAAGGAGUAAUGAUGAGGGCCAAAAUUCUAUGAGGAGACUCUCCUUUGUGACUUAGGAUCAUGUGUUUUAGUAAUUCGUUAUUUUGCUAGUUAAUUUUCAUGUCUGAUAGUAUUUGUAAUGGAUAAUGGGAUCAGAAACUCUUCUUUUUUAUUAUUAAUCUAGGCUUACUCUAGGAACCCUGUCAUAAUGUCGUAUUGCAUCCCUGGUAUUAAAGGCGUGUUUGAGCUACAAUUGUUGUUUUUCUACCAUUCUAUUUUACAUGAAUUCAGUUGAUGAUGGCAUAACUGCUCUCAAUCGAAGAUGCGGUUCUUUUUAUGCUGCAAGGUGAAAGGUCUAUCUUCAUGUUAUUGACAUAUGUUUACUCGAGUAGUUUCCAUGAAUCAUCAACAGCAGUCAUUUGUGAAAGAAGAUGGGAACAGGUUUUAGUUCCAACAACCUAUUAAAGAUCUGAAAGGCGCGAAUUCAAUUGAAUACUCAUAAAUCCAUGUCCUUCUCAAUAUUCACUGCACAUUCCUCUUAAUCAAUACAGAUAAACAACCAUUAGCAUUAGUAAAUAAGUGAAAAAUUUCCUGCACUCCAACCUAAAACCACCAAAUAAUCUGCGCUAGAAGCAAUGAAAGUCCUUCCUAGAACCUUAAACAUGGAAAAGAACGAAAACCAAUUCUAAACUUCUCAUUAAGAAAAAAUAUCUAGCAAAAGCCACCAAAAUGGUAGUGGCGUAAGAAUGGGGACGACCAACUUAGAAAUUUAGAAGGUUGUCACUCUUGGAACAUCAACUGGGAACUGAUCAAUUUCAGCCAUCCACGGGCUCUUUUCCUUGGCAGGAUCUAUAGUCUUGAGAGCUUUCCACACAGCACUGUUACACUUGAAUCCCGACCCGAAAGCUAUCUGCCAUGUUCUAUCUCCUUUCUUAAUCCUUCCCUUUGCUUCUGUGUAAGCUAACUCAUACCAGAGAGAACUGCUUGAGGUGUUUCCAAAUCGGUAUAGUGUCAUCCUUGAUGGCUCCAUAUGCCAAUCAGACAGAUGCAGGUUCUUCUCCAAUUCAUCCAAGACGGCUCUUCCCCCAGCAUGAAUGCAGAAAUGGUCAAAAGCAAGUCUGAAAUCUGGGAUGUAAGGUUUGAUCUUCAUCUUGAACAGUUUCCUACCCACCAAUGUAGCAAAGAAAAGCAGCUGCUCGGACAUUGGAAGAACAAGAGGCCCCAGUGUGGUGAUAUUGGUCUUCAAAGCAUCACCUGCUACAGCCAUCAGGUCCUUCGAUAGUGUGACACCAAUAUGCCCAGCAUCAUCUUCUUCUUGAGUAACACAGCUAAAGCACUUGUCAUCAGCACCCUUGUGCGUGCGGACAGUAUGGACUAAUUGGUACUUGGACCUCCUUCUGUCUGAGUUUUUGUUUGAAAGAAGUAUAGCAGCCCCUCCCAUCCGGAAUAAGCAAUUUGAAACAAGCUUUGAACGAUCAUUGCCAAAGUACCAGUUCAAUGUAAUGUUCUCCAUGCUGAUAACCAGCGCAUAAGAGUUAGGAUGCACCUGAAGAAGCUUUUGAGCAAGAUCAAUUGAGAUGAGCCCCGCGCUACAUCCCAUUCCACCAAGAUUGUAGCUGACUAUAUUCCCUCGAAGCUGGUAAUGAUUGAUAACCAUGGCAGAAAGAGAUGGAGUUGGAUUGAACAAGCUGCAGUUGACAAUCAAGAUUCCGAUGUCCUUGGGUUUUACAGAUGUCUUGGCAAAUAGCUCGUCAAUGGCACCAUACAUCACUGCCUCAGCUUCUUUCCUGGCUUCUUUCAUUGACGGAUUUGGGGGAAUGUUAAGUACAGCCUCUGGAAGGUAUGUUGAAUCACCAAGGCCGGAUCUCUCAAGGAUCCUUCUCUGGAACUGUAGAUUCUCUUCUGUGAAUGUACCAGUCAUCGUAGACUGAUCCAUGAAAAUCUUUUUCGUGCAUUUUCGAGUUUCUUCUGGCUUGUAACAAGAAAAGUUAACAAGGUACACAGGGCGAGGGCGGGUAAGAAAGUAUACAGUGGAUAGGAACACCAGGAGGGUCGAGCAGAUGAUCACCGAAAUCAGGUUGUAUUGGAGAUGCUCCCAUAGAUCAUAUAGAUCUUGGAGCGAAAAUGUGGAGAGCUGGGCAGCAAUAACAAUGACAAGAGGGGAAAGGAAAAGGUACAUUCCAUGGGUGAUGAGAAUAUGGUAACCAAGCUUCACAUAUUUUAGCUUAAUGGAUUUUUUGAAGUCGGGGAGGUUCCUAUUGUUUGAGGGUCUAGAUGAUGGUGGGAUCAAUGGUGUAUCUGGUUUUGGUUCCGCCAUAUUUCCCUGAUAAACAUACAACACCUCUAAUCAGAUCAAAUGCACAACAAAAUCAUAAACCAAUGUAUUAAUAGAAAAUUAUAAUCACAGAAGAUGAACUACCAGAGACUAAAAAUUAAAUUAGUAAAGGGUGGUUUUCCAGAACAUAAAGGCAAAUUCCAAUAGCUUUUCAAUUGGCAUCCAACCAGAAAUGACUCUUGGAAAGCCAAUGGAGCUUUUCAAAAAAGAAGGUUGUCUAUUAUUUACAGCUACAUAUCACACUGAGAUAAUGAAAAGGCAGAAAGAACACCUAAUGGUCCCAAUCCAAGCACCAAUUCAAAAAUGGUGGAACAGAACAAAAGCUACACACUUUGAUCCUUACAAGUUGGAGCCAAAGUGCUAAACACAAUCCAAACACAACCCCAGAUCAGAUUUUUCCAAUAAAGAACACUUCUUUCCAAACAAAUCAGCAGAUUAACAAACAAUGUUACACAACCCUUAUAAACACUCACACAAAGAACCAAACUUUAUCACAGAAACCAUACAAAUUCACACAUCCAAGAACAGAUCAAACCUCCCAAGAUACAAAACAGAACGUUAUAGAAAAAAGCUGCAAGCUUUGAUAAUGAGGCAAAACCCAGAUCGAAGACUGACCUUGGUUGCCGAAACCCACCACCAGAUCUCACAGGAAUGUCGUCGUCGCCAGCCAAAGACAACCGGAGAGAAACAGGGCAAAAGGGAAUAUGGGAGAGGUUCAAAGUUUGAAGUGAGAUUAUAUUAGAGCUAAAAAUAGGGANNNNNNNNNNNNNNNNNNNNGGCAAAUGCAUUUGCAAUUUUGGGUUUUAGAUAUUUUCUUUCUUCUAUUUUGUGUGUGUUUUCAUUGCUUUUUUCUCAUUUAAGAGGUUGAGAAUAAAGAUGUAGGAAAUCAUUCUAGUGAAGACCCUUAAGUUGAGGAUUUGGUGAGGGCUUUUCGGUUUAUGGUUUAAAAUACCCAAUUUUCGAUCACAUGUUGACAUCUUAUCUGUUCAGUUUUUAGGUUUAUAUGAGUAGAUCAUUUCUACAAAUUUUCACCCAAAUUGGUGUUCAUUAAGAUAACAAACUAGAUCAAAUUAAUGGACGAACCAAAUCUGCCAAAUAUGAACCGUUCAAGUUCAUAAUUGAUAAAUCACACUUAUGAAUGUCUUAACAAUUUUCAAUAUAGCUGAAAAUUUGAAGAAAUGAUAUACUCAUAAAUACCUAUAAACUGAACGGUCAAUAUGUAGAUAUAAGAUCGAAAUGUGGGAUAAACCGAAAAGUCUUUACCAAGUCCUCAACUUAAGGGUCCUCACUAGAAGGGCUCCCUAAAGAUGUAUACCAAAAAGAUAUCAACUUCCAAGUCUGUGUACAUGAAUCAUGUGCCAAUAUUUGUGUGAUAUACAUCUUAUCGGGUUGCAUUAGCUUUCAAGGUCUCUAUGGAUUGUGAAUCGAAAUUUACUCUUAUACAGUUAGUUGUUAGAGUUUAUUGUCUCAUGAAAAUUGUAGCGUUCGAAAAGAUACCAUAAUUUCAUGUCUAGACCCGUUUGGAGAUUUACUACUAUGAAACUCGCAUUCAUCCAAAGUACAGAAAACUAAAAUUUAGAAAGAAAAAAAAAACACCCUCUAGCCUCUGGUUUAUAUGUGGAAAUAAUACCUCCAAUAUUCUUCCCUUUAAUUUUGCUUUUCAAAAUCAAGGUGACAAUACAAAUGGCAUGAUGAUUGGAAAAGAAAAUGUCAAAUUAUUCCCUCUUUGAAUAUGACAAGUGAGAUUGAAGAAGAGUAUAGUGAAAUACAACAAAAUCGAGCCGCCCAUUACAGUUAAGGAGCCGUCAAGAACAAAGCCAGAAGGCUUAUAUUAUAUUUGACUGGUAUACAAUUCAGUGAAUUGGUAAUGUUGUAUAGGGCAGGCAAUUUGAGGAGGGACCAAGCACGAGGUUGAUGACCAGUUGUUCACAUGGAUAUAAAGGUUACAACUCUGUCACUGUCCCUAUUGUCAGCUGCGCUGGCUCCACAUGCUAUGCUGUUCUUCAACUCAAUCCAUGAGCUAUAUCAUCUUCUAAUAACAGAAACAACAAACCAACUUCAACAAUGAAGAAAUUUCCAAGUCUGUCUGUUUAGCAAGAUUUGACAAACUGUUUUAUGAGGAAAUGGUGAGGGUGAGAUGGAAUCUGGGAGAGUUGAAAAGGAAAUGUUGCCAACAAAUUUAUCUUGUGGGGUUAAGUUGGCAUCAACCAUCAAGCAUAAUUCCACCUUUGAUCAAACUUGGUUAAAGAAAAGCAAACUCUAAUACAGGAAAAGAAAUCUUACAGUAGUAACUUGCUGUUGGAGAACAAUGAUAUGAGGGAAAGUUAGUUGAACAAUAGGCAAUGUUGAACAUGCUACUCCAAUGUGAAUUCCUCCAGCCAUAUCAGCACUUCAUUUCUCUAAAAUGCAGUCAGCACCAAAACAACACAAAAGAUCAACCGUUAGAGUGAAGAAAGCAAAAUUCGGUAGGAUUUGGCAAAAAGAGGACUAACAGUACAAAUAAAAGCUUAAUGAUCAAGAUUACUUGCUACUGGUUUUGCUUUGUCUAGAAGGCAGUAGAAGUAACAGCUACCAAGACUACUACAACUAGGGCUAGUAAUCAGGCCAAAGUCGAGUUCAACUUUUCUUGAAAGAGGGUUGCUUGCAGUACUCAUAGACCUUCAAUAUGUGAAAGGGUAGAUAUAUAUCUUGUAACUUAUUAGAUGAAGUUUCAACAGUUGAAAUUUUCUUAGUUGAGGUUUUCUUGAAAACAGGUUUUCUUGCAGUUAUUCCAGAGCUUCAAUGUCAAAGGUAGCUAGAUAUCUUCCAACUUCUUGGAUGAAGUUCCUAUAGUUGGAAUUUUCUUUGGUGAAGAAUUUUCCAUCUUGAAGUUUUCUUUGAUGAAGUUUUCUCCAUAUAUCAUAUAAAAUUAGAGAUAUAUAAGAACACAUUAUCAGACUGGUCACUGAUGUUACAUACCAUUAUAAAGCUCCAAGUUCGGCCAGGGUCAUUGUAACGAGCAAGCAUACACCCGGCCUUAGGUUUGAGACCAUCUCUGAUAAGACUAGCACGCAGCAAAUUCUCCUUUUCACGAACAACAUCUUCGGUAGGCUUCCCACUAAACUUGAUAACAGCAGCAAUGCCUUCUUCCAUUUUUUUCAAGCUAAUUGUUUCUGCAUUAGGAUCUGGUAAACUGGCCACAUCACAUUUUUCUUAUUAAUAUAUAACUCUUCACAAGGACAAAUGUAAGUACGAUAUAUAUCUAACAUCUAUUAAUUCUCCACCUGCUUAAAUCCUUGUCAAGUGGAAGACAUACUUUGAUGGAUACUUUGGAAAAUUCAGCAUCAGAUGCCUCAGUGAACACCGGAGUUGUCAUUGGUAUCUUUUCCAUUUUUGAGUUCUUUCCAAAGAUGUACCUAAGCAAAUCCCAUUUCCAUAUCACAAAAAGAAACAAAAUUUUUUUUUUUUAAAGAAAAUAUAUUUAUAGCACAUGAUUAGCUAAGCUGUAAUGCAAGCACUCACCCAGUAACAUCAUUGAAACCAGCUGAUCCAGACAGCUUGUCUGCACUUCCUUCUACCACUAUAAAAGGGGAGUACUUUCUUACCUGUAGAAUCAAUCCAGGAAUCACCAACAAAACAGUAAAACCAUCCAAUCAAAUAGAGUUACAGAAGAAAACAAAAACCUUCAAAUGUAAUGCAUUUCAUUCAUGAUUCAUCAACUUUAGAGAAUGAAGUCUAAAAGCCCAACUUUUAAUGAAUGCAACAUUAGCCAUUCACUAAGGAGAACACACCUCAUAAUUUGCUGUUCUCUUUAGUAUGUCAUAUUUUGGUGUUUCCAAGUCUGGAGUUUUGUAAAUCCUCAGCUGCAGGGUUUUACAUACAAGAAGAGACUAAGGCAAGAAAGAAUCUUUAUACAUGAUAAUGGAAAGUGUAUAAUGAGUCUGCCAAUACCUGCUUGAAUACAUCUAACAAACCUUCUACAGAAAAAUAGUCAUUCUUCUUAAUGGAAUCCCAGAAGUCCUACAUGUACAUUACAGCAGAUACAUGAACAAUUUUAGAAAUUACGCUGUAUCAUCUACAUUGUACUAUAAAGAGUCAUGAGGUGAAUGAUUGUUACCACAUGGCUGCAGAACUUCCCAGUUUCGGGGUUGAUUCCCAUAACAGAAGUACCAGUGAAGAUCAAUUCUGGUUUCCAAGGCAGAGGGACGAACUUCAUAACCAUAGUCCACCUUGUAGUGAUUUCAUAUGGUCCUGACUAUAUAGCAUCUUAAUCAGUAACUUAAGACAGUCCCACUCCAAUUUCAAGUGGACAUCCACAUGAAUAUGCACAGAUUGAAAACUUUAAACUAAAAGUUUGAGUCUGCACUCAAAUUUUAUUUCCUCAUAUUCAACAUAGUCACAUUAACCUCAUCCAACAUAUAUAUGCAGCUAUGCAUCAUCCAAAAUUCUAAGUUACAUAAUUUCAUUCUAUGAAAAUCAUUGAACUGCACCCAGUUAAAUUCUUAUAUUUAAUUACUCAAUGCCUAAAAUUCCCAAUAUUCUAGUAGUUAAUCUAAUAAGGGAAAGAACACAGGUCCUUUAAACAGUUACCUGUUUUACCCAGUGCAACUGGAACUUGGGAGUGAAGACUGUCUUCAAGAAGGCAAUGUUCAACAAAUAGCCAGUUAUAGAAUCAUGCUUGGUGAUUGGAUCCCUGAACUUCACACGUUCAUCAUACGCCGUCCGAUCAAUUCCUUGAUCAUCAAACAAGUGAACUAAAUCCUGGUACAGAAAAUCGACCACCCUUUCCAUGUCGACGGUUGAUUUUGGCGGGCUUUGGUCUACUAAGCUAAGUCUAACAGCCCACUUUGAGUAGUUUUGCCUUGUUUGAAGCCCCAAGUGUUUGUGUUUCAAGGCUUUGGAACGUGGAUGGCAUGGUAGUUUAUUCGCUUUGGUGGUGCUCAGCCGCCGUAAACUGACGCACACGGCGGGGAUAGGCCUGAAAACUUGGUCGGAAAGCUGUGUGCUAGCCAUUUGGUGGUUGUGGUGGGCGUGUGACUGUGUUGGCUUGGUGCGUGACCAUGCAUUGCUACUAUGAAACAACUUAGCCACAAGUAUUGAUUGGUUGGUGUUCGUUUCUGAAAUUAGUGGCUACAAUUUCUUCAUGUAAACAUAAUUGAAUAGUAGAACUCGUCGUUUGUAAAUACCUUAUGAAAAUGAUAAGGAGAAACACUAGUAUCAUUGUCCUGCAGAUAUGACUUUAAGCUAAAUUCUCCAUUCUAUGGUAGACUAGCACAGUAUUGCAGCACAAUUUCACACUCUCAGUACAAGACUUUACUGAUGAGAAACCCCUCUGUAUAUUUGGCCAUCCAUGAACUUCAAUAUCAUAACUAAUCCAAAACAUAAACACCAAAUAAGUGACCAUUUCCCAUCUCCUAAAUCACACAUUGUGCAGGAGAAAGAUGAAAUGAAGGGCAAGAUUCCUCCUGCCGUAAAUAAGUUGGAUAAGUGAGGGCAUCAAGGACUUUUUCAUUUGCUAAGAAAUUAAAAUGUAGCUGGCUUAGUAUAGAACCCUCUUGUUUCCCAGGGUUCUGACAGGAAUCACAGGAUUAAAUGGCAACAGCCCUCCCUCAGUCUCCCACUCUCAAGACUCCUCUUUCAGGAUGUGUGACGACGAGUGCUAUGAAGGUAAGUCUCUCUUGACCUCUGCAUCCACCUCUAAGCUUGGUUUGUCCAUUUCUAAUGUCAUCACAAAAUGGCUCGAAUCCCUACCCGAAGAAAUCAUACCCAACAUCCUAAUCACACUACCUGUCAAAUCCCUCAUCAGAUUCACCUCUGUCUGUAAAUCUUGGGAGUCCACCAUCAAAAACCCAAAAUUUAUCCACACCCACCUCACCCACACUCUCAAUUCCAAUGACCAAAACGACACCCACCUCAUUCUCUUCCACGAUGUUCAUAGUAAACAUUUCUGUCACUAUCCUAAGUACAAGAAGCCUCUUUCUCUCUGCAUUAUGAUUACACUGCUGCUGUUACUGAGUAUUGCAAGAUUGAGUUUCCAGUAGCUAUCAAGGAAGCAGUCAUGAAUGCUUUUCGUGUUGUGGGUACUUGUAAUGGGCUGGUUUUGCUGGCUGAUGAUUUGGAGGAUUACGGUUACACCUUUGUUGUAUGGAACCCUAGUAUAAGAAGGUAUGUGACCCUUCCCAAGUCCACUAUGAGGUUUUCGAGGCAAGGUACGUAUGUUGGUCCGGUUGGUCUGGGUUAUGAUGCUGUUGGUAAUGACUAUAAGGUUGUGAGACUUACCACCCUUUUUAAGAAAGAGAAUCCUUGUCGGCCUGAUAUUUGGCCCACUUCAGUUGAGGUUUAUUCACUCGCCAAGGGCAUUUGGAGCACGGUCAGUCCUCCUCAAUGUAUUGUUCUUCAUUACUCCGCUGCUCAGGUUUUCGUCAAUGGGGCACUUCACUGGAUGGCUAAGCAUUGCCAUUGGAUAGAUGAGAUGGUACAUAUAGACUCUUUCAUUUUGACAUUUGAUGUGGCUGCUGAGUCAUUUGGAGAGAUAAUGUUGCCCAAGGGCUUCGAAUCAGAGGAGGCACAGUUGUCUACGUUGUCUGAUUCUGGAGAUAGAAAUUCUAUUGCUCUGUUUGUGAGGAAUGAGGUUCCGGGUGCUUUUGGUCUUGAAUAUUGGGUAAUGAAAGAGUACAGUGAGGAGAAAUCAUGGACAAAGUUGAUGGUUUUUGGUCCACAUGAUCGGUGGAUAAAUGUACCCAGGGUAUUGUGUUUUAGGAGGAGUGGUGAAGUGAUGUUGUUACUUAAGGAUGGCCAUACAGUUUCACUUGACAUUGUGAGCGAAGAAUUUAAACAUCUAGGGAUGUAUGGAGGGGACCUUAGCUCUGUUCACUCUUAUGAAGAGAGCCUUGUCUUGCUUGAAAGGAAAGAUGUUGUUUCUUACUGAGGCAAUGAACCAAGUAAGGUGAUUAUUUCUUGAACUUACCUUUGCUGAUAGCUUCUAAUUUUAAUGCAUAUGCUGCUAAUUGUAUAUGAUCUAUGACGAUUGGAUUUUACCUCAGCCACAAAGUUUGAUAUUGUGUAUGCUGAUUGCUUUGAUUGCUCUGUGCGUCAUGUAUUAUAUUUUUUCUUUGCCACAAGUUUGUUGUUCGUGUCUUUCUGGUGUUUCGUUAGGAACUUGCUAUAAUAUUGUUUUAAAUGUUUUCCUGUCUUAGCUAAUUGUCUUUCUUGUUCUGUCGUUUUGAGAACAGAGACUAGUAACCAAGUUGAUUAGAAAUCAAGCAAACCAACUUCAGAACAAUUCGCUGUACUUUAUGUUUGGAAAACAAGACUUAAAUGAGUAACUACUCAUAUCAUAUCAUUGCUUUCUCCGUGUUUUCUAUAAUAUCUGUUUGGUAUUACCUUAGACAGUAGAGUGUGGUCUCCAAGGAACUGUUGAGGCUACUGCAUUGUAUUUGAAAUUACAUGUUUUUAUUUGCUGUUGUUAACUGACCAUAUUAUCUCUGUCGAUGAUGUGUACUUGUCACUUUGAAUCGUUCCCAACCAACCAUAUUAUCUGGUCGAUUGAUUUGUUAGUUUUUGAUGACUACUUGUUACUUUUAAUAUGAAUAUGGCACAAAUCAUGCUAUUUGAUUUUCUAUUUGCAUAGGCAGCAUCAUAUGAAAGCUGAUGAAAUGUGGGAUACCAAAAUUAAGACCGAGUAAUAGUUGCAACUUUCUACUCUAAUUUCUGUAGAUUUUCUUUGUUUAUCAAUAUUUGGAUUGAAUUUCCAUGGCAUUAUCUUUUUCUUUUCUGGGUUGAAUUACCUCCGUUUUACAUUACAUGCCUUGGCAAUCUUGAGCUGAUUAUCAUCCUACAUCUCUGUCAUCAACUGUGAACCACAUACUUUCCCUUCACUUCACUCUCUAGUCUCUAUGUUGUGUUAAUACAAAUAUCUGAACAAAGCGUUGAAAAGUGUUCUACUACCACUUCCGGUGCGUUCAUGCAGCAUCCCUUUUGGGACUCCAUAGCAUUUGGGACUCCAUUUGUAUAAUAUAACUUGCUGAAGCAUUUAUUCAAUUGUGUGCAGGUCAGACAUUGGGACACAUGACUUUCAAGACUGUUUUUUGUAGCUGUGAAGUGUGAGAAUCUGAUGCAUGGGUUUGCAAUUUCAGUCACUCCAUCUACCGACUGAACUUUUGAAGUGCAUCUAUAUAGGAUAUGUAGUCCCAUCUAGUAUGGGUAUGUAAUCCUAACAUGACUCGCUUCUAAUUUGGAUCUUCCAUCAGACUUAUCAGUAGUUAUUAGUAUUCUCGUGUGUAACAAUAUUUCAACUGAAUAGAUUACCCUCUAUCUUAAUCGUUUACGCGAUCUCUUGUGGUUUUUCUUAACCGCAUCCAAAGCUUGAUGCUUACAAGCUUUGGAAUAUGGAGAAUGGCCUAAAUUUGCCUUUGCUACUUGUGAAUUCUUUCAUGCUUGUGUCUUUGCUAUUCCACAUUCUAUUGAAAGAUCCUUUAGACAUUGAGAACAGGUCAACUUGCGGAACAUGAUUCACCUUCGAUUAAUCAGGGAUGACACUAAGAAAUUGAUACUAGGAGAGAAAUUUGACAUAUGCUAAGUAUCAGAAGUCUCUCAAUAUACCCUGAAUUGAUUCCCUCAAAGAUUGAUGUGAAAUUGAAAGAAAGAACCAGUAUCAUACUCACUUCAAGCUAAUUUCUCCAAUCUAUGCUAGACUAGCACAUUCUUGCAGCACAAUUCCACACUCUAGCACACGACUUCACUGAUGAGAAACGCGCCAAGCAUAUCAUCAUUCCCCUAUAUACACACUUCAAUAUCCCAACAAGGCUGUUGUAUUGCCAAGUUGGGCUCUUUCAUUACGGACUUUGGUGGUGGUUCAACGGGGCCGUGACUGGAGUAAAGCCCAUAUGCAUUGCAAAUUGCUUUUCGGCUAUGAGACAUCUUACCCACAAGUUGAUUGGUUGGUGUUCAUUUCUGUUUACAUCCUUAAAUAUAUUAUGCAAAACUAUUAAGAUAAAGAUUUUAAACUAAAUAUUUCAAUACUAACCUCACAAUCAAGAAUUUUUGUGAAAAUAUAAUAUUAAACUAAAAUCAAUAAAAUCCAAACAACAACAAUUCUCUACAUCUUUACAUCAAAAAAAAAAAAACAAUUCUCUACAUCUUUUAAAUCAGAUUUGAGAAUAUACAAUGUGGUGGGAUUGUUCGUUCUUAUUUUUAUUUUAUUUAUGGCUUCAAAUGUAGUCUUUCAUAUAUAUAAUCGUAAAGAAGGAAGUCAAUAAAGAGAUCAAGGAGAAUAUAUAUAGGAUGUGGUUUGUGAAUAAAUAGAGGUAUGCGUUAAAUAUAUUGAUGAUAUAUUUUUAUAUUUUAUCAGAUUGAGGAAAAUAAAAUAAAGAAAAUAAAAACCAGAUUUUCUCUCAUAAUUUUGAGGGCAGAAUUAGAACGUUAAAGAUAAAAAAUAAGACGUGGGGUGAACUAAGCAUUUAGUGGGGUGGAAAUAGCCGCACCCUAAAAUAUUUGUAAAAAAUGUUCUAAAAGGUGCUAAAAACCAAGAAUAAGAAAACUCAUUAUUUGUAAAUUAAAGUGCAUAUCUUAAAUCAUUUUUGUCUAAGUAAAAGCAGGCAUGAAUCGAGAAUCUUAAACCACAAUAAUAUCAUACAACAAUUCUCAAAUAGAAAGAUCAUAGCCCCAUAAAUUACAAAAUUUGCUCACUCAUAUCCACCACUAAAGUAAUAUAUGUACAUUGCAUUUGUGUAGAGAACUACUAUAAAUUUAGGAAAAUUCAUACCUGUCCAAACUUUUUGACUGUUAUAUGUACACGUUUGUAAAACAUUGCCAUAUAAAGUGAACGUUGGACAUGCAUUAGAAAAACACAUUCUUCCACACUCUUGACACAAGUCGUCACUGACGAGAAACGCGCCAAGAAGCAUCAUCCCUCUAUAUAUAUGCCCAUCCAUGAACUUCAAUUCCAUAACCAAUCCAAAGCAUACACACCAAAGCUCCCAUUUCCCUCAUCUCCUAAUUCAGACUCUUCAUUUCAUAAGAAAACCCAUCAUCCAAAACCUCCAAAUCAACAGUCCAAACUAGAAGGAUGUCGAAAAUGUUUGCCCUUUCAAAGUUCGAGACUGCCUCAAUAUCAUGGUGGAAGAAGCAUGGAGAUGGAGACGACGACGGUGAUGAUGGAUACGACUAUGCCCCAGCGGCAUCAGCAUGCAUGGAAGGCGACAGCGAUGACGACGAUUCCGACUAUGAUUAUGCUCCGGCGGCCUCUACGGAAGGCGAUGACGACGACGAUGAUGGUGGUUAUGAUUAUGCUCCAGCUGCAUAAGAGCUGUGUAACUAGCAAUUCAGUCGAAAUUGCUUAUAUUAAUUCUUGAUAUGAGAUCGAGUGGCAUUUCUAUCACAGGGUUAUUUGCAAACCCCUAAGUAUUUUCUGACGGCCUUUGUAGCUCGUCAGAUGUUAUAGGGUAUUAUGUAUCAAUUUCUGAUCAGUAAACCUCUGAAUUAUGGUCCUCUACUACUCUAAUUUCGUUUUUUGUUUGAAACUCGAAGAUGCUAAUUAAGUAUUAACAUGAGCAAAUGUGGUUUGUGACACUGUUUCCUUUCAAUGAUCGAAGUCUGUAAUAGUUUCAAGCACACAAUAAGUCUCAUUUCCCUAUCUGCAAGUUUGCUUAAUUAGUGAAAUAGAAAUACUUUACAUGGAUGAUUUGAUCAUCACUUACUAAAUGAAACUACUUGACUAUCAAUUCGAGGAACCUGGAGAAACCAAAUUUGUUCAUAUGCUGUUGUUAUUUUCCAUCUUUCUUGUAAUGGCUCAGCUCACCCCGCACUUGCUUUAUCAUGAUAUUCUCUUCCUUUACCUUUUCAAUUAUAAUUCUAAUGUAUUUCUCUAAGUGGUCACUUUACUUAUCAUCUGCUAUAAACUAAAUUCAAACUUUCUGGGAUUGCUGACGAAGAGCUUAGUAUUCGACGAGCUACUAA
rnacentral:lncRNA from 1 species